CACUCAAAAAAUACCUUCUGAAUAGACAAGCAUCAAAGUGCAAGGCAGGAGUGAAGUUGGAAUGGAAGAGCAAAGAAAUCUAGGAAAAGAGGUAUGGAGGGAAGAAGGACUCCAGAGUGUUUACUGUCAAUACAGAGUAUUGAAAAGAAAAGAAGUCCAGAGAGGAGGUGUCUGCAGCUAGGCUGUGUGUCUUGGACUCAAAGAGUGUCAGGCAGGCUUCAAAGGCCAGAGGCAAAGCAGAUAAAACAGAUUUUUAAAAAUUGAAGUGAAAAGAAACAGAUUUUAUUUUGAGAAUUUAUACACUGAGAGUAGGCAGCACUGAUGUAAAGUGAAAAAGGAUUUUUUUAAUGUCAUGCCUUCAUUUGUACACCACCUACAGCUUCAAAAUCCUUUUAUAUGUAUCCAUCUAAUCCUUGAGGUGGGUAUGAGCCUCUUUUGGCGGUCGGCAAGGAUGGGAAAGAUGAUAUGAUUUCACGACUCAUAGAGAAAGUGAUGGAGCUGUAGCUUGAAUUCUUUUACUUCAAAUCCACAAUGCCAUGCCUCGCUCCAGUGAAGGACGGACUGCUGUUCUGUCUCCUAAAACCCACACAGCUCGCCUGGGUGCUUGAGUGAUAGUCAAAUCUCCUAUACCAAUCAUGGAGCAGAGGUGCUAUGAGAGAUUCCUAACUCCUGAAAAACUGUGACAAAGGAUUAGAAGUUUUAAGAUAUGUGAAAAUGGUUGAACCAUCUACAAGAACUCUAAAAAUCCAAAGAAGAAAUGUAGAUGAGGAAAAUCAAAUGGACUAUUACACUGAAAUAAGACUCACUAUUGAUGAUGAUAAAGAUGGAUAAAAAAUGGAAUAAUGAGAAAAAUAACUGGAAACACUAAGGACCGUAAAAUGCAAUGGAUGAUCCAGCAGUAUACAAGUUUGAGAGCGUGAUGUUAGAAAUUUGUAAAAACUUGAGAAUGGAAGAUUUGGGGACAAUCUUCAAAUAUAUUAAAUAAAUUCCCUCAAUGUUGUCAAGAUGGAAAUGUUCCUCUGGGAUCACUGUCUGUAACAGCCACUGAAUAACAAAAUCAUUGUGUAUACAUGUGAAGAAAAUAACCUGCAGAGUGCAUACUAAAGAACACAGCUUAGCAAUGACUUUCACAUCACAGGAUACAAAGAUAAAGUCACCAUCUGGAAAUGGUUCAAGCUACUUUCAAAUAUUUGGCCAGAAAAACAAAUGCAUCAAUAUUUUAUUAAUAGCUAUUAAGCCUUGCUUAAUGCAUAUGUUAUGUAGCAUAUGGGCAAAGUUAUUACUAAUUCCCAUAUAAAGACAUGAAAACUCUAAUAGGUGUUUGGCAGAGCCACUAACCUUCUAGGAUCCCACAUUCUGGGAUCCUGACCCAGCCAGUGGUAGCCUCCGAAUAAGAAGAGCAGGAAGAGGAAUAGCUGGACCUGUAGCACAAGUCAUACAAAAUUUUAAAAUUUUUUCCUAGGGUUUUUUCCGCCCUCAUUUGGCUUCAGAAUCAAGACUGAGUUUGUGCAUCCAGUUUUAGAUGGAACAUUGAAAAACUUGCAGAUAUAUGAGGCAGUGGGGGAAGCAACAAGGAUUAUGGCUAAUCUAGUGACUAAGUCCUAGGAGGGAAGGUUGAAGAAGCUGGAUUCAACACUCAAUAGAGUGAUGGUACUCCUCCAAUAUGCCAGGGACUGAACCACGCUCUGGGGAGAUGGUGGUGAGCAAUGCAGUAGAAUCCCCUCCUUCACAGAACUGCCUUUUAGUGGUAGAGACAGACAAGUGAAUAAAUGAUUUUAAUGUAGUGCAUUAAUAUUUAUAAAAUAGAUUAAGAGCAGAAUGCCAUGAGAGGGGUGUCUGAUUCUGCUUUGUGAGGGGGAUGGUGUUGCGGGGGGCGUUGAAAGGAUGAGUGGGAGGGAUCCAUUUGAUGGGAAAAGAGGGCAUUAUAGGCAGAGGCUGUAUAUUAAGGUGCAUGUGGGAGAGAAAAAUGGCUUGGGAACUCAAAGUAGUUGAGAGUUUGAUAGAUUUUGUGUGAAAGAUGAGUGAUGGGCCUGGAGAAAGAAGCCAAGAAACACAUAACGAAGGGCUACCGGGGAUUAAAAAUUGAGCUUUCUUUUGAAGGCAGUAAGAAGCUAUCUGGUGUUAUUUUUUUUUAAAGAUGUUGAUGUUGGAAAUAUUUUUGAGGCUAAUGUAUUACCAGUGGAUUGAAGAUUAGAAGAGGCAAGACUCGAGGUAGGAAGGUCUCACAGGGCACCAGGAAUCAUUCAAGGGAGAGGAUUGAAUGGGCGUGAGAAUGCAGAAGAUUGGGAAGUUACUAGAUGUAUUAAAGAUGUAUUAAGAAAGUUACUAGAUGUAGGUUUGACACACUUAAGGUUGGAUGGCACAUAAAUAUUUUUGAAUAUUUGAAAGACUGUCAUUUGGAGGUUCUUAGGGGCCAAGGAAGAAGUGGGACCAUUGAGGGGAAUCAAGUAUUAUAAGCUGGCAGAGCUUCCAAACAAUGAACAUGGUUUAACAAUGAGAUGGGAGGCCAUGGGUUCUGGUAAUUGCUGGGAGAUUUCAAGUAGAAGUCGGGACAGGUUCCUGUCAUGGGUGCUGUAGAGGAUAUGCCUGCAUGGCACAUGGUCCUGGUGACUUUAAAUGUCUGCUUAAAUCCUGAGAUUCUGUUAUGGUUGACAUGACUCCACGUGGCUUCACCCAAAAACUGUCUCCAGGCCAGCAAUAAUGUACUGGUACUUACCUGAAACUCUUGGCUUGUCGGAUCUGCACUUCUUGUUCUGAAAUGGAGGUAUUUAAGGAAACAGAGAGGAAAUUAAGGCAUUAAAAUGUGCUUUUCUCUACCCAAAUCAUAUCAAGUUUAUGUUCUAUGUCUUCCCACCAUGGUGACUCUAGCAUGCAGUGAUGAGGUCAGGCACUGCACCCAAGUUUCUCAGCUACUGAUUUAGUGUGCUGUGCUCACAGUGGUUUAUUGUCUUCAAAUGAUAAGAUCUAGGUGAAGCAGGUAUUAACAGCAUAUAACACAUGAAGUUUCUUAACUCUGGUUUCCUCCAGAUGUUGCUGAAACAAUAUAACAUAAGCCAGAUGAAAUACCAAAGGAAAUUCUGUGACAAUCAAACCAUGGUAUAGAUAUGUCACUUUAGGCAAUGAGAUUCUCAAGUCUGCAACUCAUAUUGGGGUUUCUUCCAUAUUAGAAAAAUUGGAUCAUAUUUUUCCACUUUCCCUCAUCCUAAUUUAUAACAGUUAGCCUCCCCAGUUCAAGCUAUUUGAAGGUUUCUAUGACAUUUAUUUUAAUUAGGGCAUAAAUGCACACACAUUUUUGAUAUAUCAACAAUCUCAAUAAAAUGGGAAUAUUCCAUGGCAGAAAUCUAAACUUAGGGGAAUAUUACAAUCUCUAAUAAUUUUUAGGAAACAGUCACUAUCUUUACUUUAUGCGUCUUCCUAGGAAGAAGAGUUUGCCUUCCUUGCCAGACACUACAUGCUUUUCUUAGUCUCCUUUGCUGCUACCAUGCAGGCACAGGGUCAAGUUCACCAGUGGAAGGUGCCACAAACUCUGACAUGGGAACUAGUAGAGACCAAGAAACACCGUACUUUGGUGGCAAUGGCAAGGCAGGAAGACUGAAUUUCCAGGGAAGUGGUGGCAGUGAGGUCACGGUUGACACUCCUGUGAGCAGGCUGGUAGGACAAGCUGUGGGAACUAGCUCAAAAACAUUAGCAAUGGAGACCUCACCAGUUCUUUGACCUGAUCCAAGGUGUUGUUCUGUCUGCAUAGUUUGUGAGUCUUGUUGUUACCCUCUUUUGGCGAUUAUGUGAACUACCCAGUAUUCUUAUAAAAUAUUCAUAUUUUGCUUCAAAUUAACCGGAGUUUAUAUCUAUUGCUUGCAACUAAUAAUCCUUAUCAAAAGAGGACAAUGCAAAGAAAUACUGCACUCUUAUGACCUGAUUCUAGAAUGGUAAACAUGAAAAGGUUUCAUUGAUAAACGCUCUCUUUGUUCUCUGUUAAACUCUCUCUAAUAAAAUAAUUGCUCACAUAAUAUAUGGGAAACAGGAUAAAGAGACUUGAGUAUAACUGAGUUGCUUACUGUUUUGUUUCUAAGUGGGCAAAGGAUUCUGGAAAAAAAAAUUGCAUGGUAUGGAAACUAAUUCACACUAAUGUGUAAAUUAACCUAUGACUAAUUUGCAUUUGAAAAUAGAAACUUGUAUUUUAACCAAAUCUUUAAUUAAGGCAGACGGAAAGAUUCUUAGGACAAGUUAAUUGGGCACGUUGUCUCAUUCCAUUCCAAAUAUCUUUAGCUACCCAGAAAAGUAUUCCACAUAGGAACAGACAUGAAGAAAGAGAUGGUGACGUAGGGAGGGUUCAUUUCAUUUCCAGAGUUUCCUUCACUAGAGCAUCCUCCCAAGAAUAGAGUCCUUUGGUCUACUUUGGACUAUGGAAUCAGAGUCAGGUAAUUAAAUAUUUAAAUAUCCUGGAGCAAAACCCUGAGAUCUCCCUGGUCAUAAGGGAACACUAGGAACUUUGACCUUUGUUAUGGUUAUUCUGUUGACACCUUGACCACUGAGUGUGAAUUGGGGAGCUAAGGAAAUCGUGUGACCACCAUUCUUUUUCAGAUGAAGGUGCUAAUUUUUCACUGGUUUAUUUGUUUAAUUAAAAUUGUCAGCAUUUACUGAAAAAUAAUAUAACAAUCAUUGUCAUAUGUUCCUAGUUAGUCUUCUAAUCACAGGUGCAUUAUCUGUUUCAUAGGGGUUUUUGCCUUUACCGGGCUGGCAGAAUGGGAUUCCUGGAAUGAGACAAACACAUUUUCAGAGUUUAACGAUUCGAGUCAAGGCAGAAACCCUUAAAGUGUUAGUCUCGAGUAGAACAAAUUUAAUAAUUAUGUUUCUCUUAUAGGAGUCAUUAACCAAAAUUUGGUCUUUAAUUUCUUCUAGUGAAAUAACUGAAAAGAAAAUUUUGAUUUCGUUCAUUCAUUCAUUCACUUAUUCAACAAAAUACAUGCACUGAUGGCUGUCACUAUGCCAGAUUCUGUGCUAGACCUUAAGGAUUCAAAGAUAAGAUAAAAUGCAUCUCACAUUUCCAGGAGCUCACAGCCUAAUUCUGGAAAGAUGUUUAGGCUCAAGUAUGCUACAUGGUAGUUGGUAAUUUUUAGCUGCAUGCACUAAAAUAGCUUUACAUUCUUGCUACCACUUUAGAAUAGCACUGAAAGGACUUCAGGGUUUGUGUUCUCUGUGGGGGAAUUACUCAUCUAAUUCUCAUUAGUGCAAAUGGGAAAGAGGUGUAAAUCCACAGUGAUCUAGCUGAGAAAACAAAUACUCCUUAUUUGACUUCUGUUGUUUGUUUAUAUUUGUUCCGGGUUGACUCAGGGAAAUAAUCAGGAAAAUUACCCAUGUUCAAUUGCCCGGUUGCUCCAGAACCCUUGGAGUGCCUAAUCACAGUUAAUAAUUAAAACAAAGCAAGAAAAUUCAAAUGUUGGAUUUAAGUAUUAUCAAGAGGGAAAGAAACCAUUUGAGGGGGAAAAUAUGAGGAGUCUUUUGUGGUAGGUAGACUUUUAUGGACAGAAACAUGGGCUCUAAAGAGAGAAUGAUUUUUUUUUUUUUUUCUGAGACAGAUUCUCACUCUGUCACCCAGACUGGAGUGCAGUGGCGUGAUCUCGGCUCACUGCAACCUCGGCCUUCCAGGUUCAAGCAAUUCUCCUGCCUCAGCCUCCCGAGUAGGGAAGAGUGAUCUUUUAAAAUGGAUGUGGAUUAUGGUAGAUGGAUAACUUAGUAUCUAUGAAGCUCCUAUAGUGUCCCCAGCUCCGUGUUAGACCAUAUGUCUAACCUAGCCAAAAUUGUGUCCACAGGAUACAACUAGCAAAUUAUAUGUGACAGAAACAAAAACUGGAACCUGCAGUUUAAAAUGGUAUGGAAUAUUUGAAAUAAGAACAUUGACAGAAAUUUAAGACGUGGUCAUAGUUUUAAGUAAUAUGAGUUAGGAUGGGCUGAGUUAUGCUGCAGUGACAAAUAACCCCCAAAUCAUAGUAGUUUAUACCAACAAGUCCUUUUCUAGGUCUUCUUGCUCUGGGACCCAGACUGAUGGAGCAGUCACUACAGGUUAGGACUCUCUAAUCCUAAGUGCUUGGAACCAGAAGUGUUUAUGGAUUUUGGAAUAUUUGCAUAUACAUAAUGAGAUGUCUUGAGGAUGGGACUCAAGUCUAAACAUGAAAUUUAUUUUUGUUUCGUGUACACCUUAUACACACAGCUUGAAGGUAGUUUUAUUUUUCCCUUGGGAACACUGAAUAAACUGCCUGUUGUGUGCCUGUGUUUUGACUGAGACCUGUCACAUGAGGUCAACUGUGACAUUUUUCACUUGGGGCUCAAGAAAUUUUGGAUUUUGGAGCAUUUUGGAUUUUAGACUUUUCAGUUUAGGAAUGCUCAGCCUGUAUCUCAAACCUUAGUAUAAAACUCUAUAAAGUCGUGUGCUGACAAUCAAAUGCUUCCUUUUAUGAAUCAUUGGCAAAAACCAGUCUUGUGGUCCCAUUUAACCUCAAAGGAGUUAUAAAUAUCAUCCUACUCUAUGCCUAGAGAGCUGACAGCUGAAAAUAUUAUGUGAACGCUACUAAUGACUCUAACUCAGACCUCGCUAAAGUGGCUGCUCAAAUGUGGUCACAUUAAAUUUAAAUUCAACUUGAUACCUCUCACCUGUGUGAGAUUUUACUGUCAGCCUAGUUGCCCUCACAUUGAGCAUGCAUUAGAAUCACCUGAAGGGCUUCUUAAACCAUCGAUCCCUGUGCCCCACCUCCAGAGUUCUGGGUCCAGUAAGUGGGAGGUGGGAGACGCUUAACAAGUUCCCAGGGGAUUGCUUAUCUGGGAACUGCACUCUGAAAACCACUUGUCUUGGAAAAUCCAAAGGAAGUUUCCUGUCUUUGUCCAUCUAAGCGUUCACUAAAAUCAUAGUAAAUGCCAGAGCAUGACUUGUUCUGGGGAAUGGAUGGAAGGACUACACACUCCAGCCAGGGGGAUGGUUGCUUUCAGAACUCACAGUGUCAGGACCAGCCUCACCUUGUAACUUCAGGGCCUCUCUUCUUCACCUUUUGGUUGCUUCAUUAUGUCGGGGGCCACCUUCCUUUUACUGGCUGGAAGAUUCUUGAAACAUGUUUGUAGAUUUCAUGAUAAAGUUAGUAAGGCCCAGAAAUAAUUUGUUCUUCUUCCUUCUAAGGUCAGUUUUCUAAGUCCUCAUUUCCUCCCUUGGAAUCCUCUUCUUCCUAGAUCACUGAAAAUUAAAUAAUAUCCAUUUCCUUAUUGGGACACGCUGACCCAAACCCACAAAUGUGUGGUCCUGCAGCACAAUUACAGCAGAAAGUACUAAUGCCACAUCCUUAAAAAAGAAACAAAAAGGCAGGAAUGGGUGGGAUGCUAUUUCCUUUGCAUCUGUCCCUCUGUGCUGCAAAGAAGUGUACUCCUUUCAUUUUAAAUAUUCUCUUGGAUCUGGGAUAUUUGGACUUAAGUAAAACCACAUGUGGGUCAUUAGCCAUUUCACUCCAGGUUGAGUUCUACUAAACCCACCCAAGUUUCUUUUUGUGGUCUUCCCUCCAGAUCAUCCUCCAUGUCCUUCCUGCAGGCUUCUGAUUUUCAAGCUUGUGAUUUUCUGGUGAGCAUCUAUUUCAAUGGAGCAUGCGUCAUGCUCAGGACCAAGUGAGGGUCAGGCAUGGCACCACCUAAGAGACAUCAGAUGGCCUGUAGAGAUGUAGCUGCUUAUAACACACACAAUCACACACUACACUCAACUCUGUGGAGCCUCUGCUUGACAUGUGCAUGGAAACAUGGUCCAUUUGCUUUUACUUUCAGAAAAAGGAGUAGCCUGCAAUGGAAAUACAUUCAAAGCUCUACCUCUUGCAGUUAAGAAGCCUGCAGCUUUGACAUGGCCAUUUCCCCAGCUUCUACCAUACUAAAGUUUCAAAAUUUUCAGCCUCUUUUAAGCCAGAGCUCAUGCUUUCCAUUUCUCAAUAGUCUUGCCAAGUAAAAUAAAAUAAAACAAAAACAGCUUUUCUUCUAAACGUAAGUUAGAUAUACAAGCUCAUUCCUGUGGUGUCAGCAGGAAAAGGACCACUUUUAUUUUCUAUCAUAUGACCUAUUAUUUCACCCGGGAUAUUUGCGUUUUUAGAGAAACCUUUCUACAGGAAAUUCUUCAAGACAAGUCUUUAAGAGAGCCUAGUGUUUGUUGCUAUUCUAAUUUUUAAAAUUAGACAUUCUAAUAGUUUGUUGUUGAUAUAUAAAAAUGCAAUUUUCUUUCAUAAUUGAACUUACCUCCAGAAACUUUGAUCAAUUCUCUAGCUAAUUCUAAUAUAUUUCUCUGUAGGCUUUUUUUUUGAGUUUUGCAUGUAGACAAUUUAAUGUAAAUAAUGACAGUUUUGUUUGUUCCUUUCCAAUUAGUAUAUGUUUAUAUUUUUCUCUUUUCCUGCUGUGCUGGCUAGGGCCUCCAAGCCAAUAUUGAAGAGGAAAAAGCAGCUAUCUUUGUCUUGUUUCUGACAGAAAACAGAAAGAUUUGGUAGAUACACUUUAUCAGAUUAAGGAUGUUUCCCUCUCUUCCCAUGUUACCGUUUCUUUCAUGAGUGAAUGUUAAUUUUUGAAUGCUUUUUUUGGCAUCUAGUGAGAUCAUACUUUAAAAAAUGUUAGUGUGGAGCAUUACAAUAAUGAUGUGUAUGAUGUAUUGUUUUAUAAAUUGUGGGAUUUAGCUUGUUAAUACUUUUUUUUAGAAUUUCAUAUCUUUGUUCUUAAGUGGGAUUGACUUCUAUUGCCCUUUCUUACAUUAUCCAUGUUUUGUUUUGAUGUAGCCUAUAACAUGUGUCUCUGUGUUUACACAAGAUAUACACUGACUACUAACAGUGAUUAUGACUGAUUGGCUAAAUUAAAGGUGAUUUUGUUUUCUGUACAAUUUUCUGCAUUUUCUUUUUUCUUUCUUUCUUUUUUUUUUUUGAGACAGAGUCUCGCUCUGUC